rnacentral:rRNA from 1 species
UACGUAGGGUGCGAGCGUUAAUCGGAAUUACUGGGCGUAAAGCGUGCGCAGGCGGUUUUGUAAGCCAGAUGUGAAAUCCCCGGGCUUAACCUGGGAAUGGCAUUUGGGACUGCAAGGCUGGAGUGUGGCAGAGGAGACUGGAAUUCCUGGUGUAGCAGUGAAAUGCGUAGAUAUCAUUUGGAACGCCAAUGGUGAAAACAGGUUGCUGGGAGUGUGCUGACGCUGAGACACGAAAGCCAGGGGAGCGAACGGG